GGCCUUGACAUACUAAGAACUUUCCAGAGAUGGAUUGGUGCCUUCGGGAACUUAGAUACAGGUGCUGCAUGGCUGUCGUCAGCUCGUGUCGUGAGAUGUUGGGUUAACGUCCGCAACGAGCGCAACCCUUUUCCUUAUUUGCCAGCGGGUAAUGCCGGGAACUUUAAGGAUACUGCCAGUGACAAACUGGAGGAAGGCGGGGACGACGUCAAGUCAUCAUGGCCCUUACGGCCAGGGCUACACACGUGCUACAAUGGUCGGUACAAAGGGUUGCUACCUCGCGAGAGGAUGCUAAUCUCAAAAAGCCGAUCGUAGUCCGGAUCGCAGUCUGCAACUCGACUGCGUGAAGUCGGAAUCGCUAGUAAUCGCGGAUCAGAAUGCCGCGGUGAGUACGUUCCCGGGCCUUGUACACACCGCCCGUCACACCAUGGGAGUUUGUUGCACCAGAAGUAGGUAGUCUAACCGCAAGGAGGACGCUUACCACGGUGUGGCCGAUGACUGGGGUGAAGUCGUAACAAGGUAGGCGUAGAUGA
rnacentral:rRNA from 1 species